rnacentral:rRNA from 1 species
CCCGGAGAGGGGAGUGAAAUAGAACCUGAAACCGUAUGCGUACAAGCAGUGGGAGCCUACUUGUUAGGUGACUGCGUACCUUUUGUAUAAUGGGUCAGCGACUUAUAUUCAGUGGCAAGCUUAACCGUAUAGGGUAGGCGUAGCGAAAGCGAGUCUUAAUAGGGCGUUUAGUCGCUGGGUAUAGACCCGAAACCGGGCGAUCUAUCCAUGAGCAGGUUGAAGGUUAGGUAACACUGACUGGAGGACCGAACCCACUCCCGUUGAAAAGGUAGGGGAUGACUUGUGGAUCGGAGUGAAAGGCUAAUCAAGCUCGGAGAUAGCUGGUUCUCCUCGAAAGCUAUUUAGGUAGCGCCUCAUGUAUCACUCUGGGGGGUAGAGCACUGUUUCGGCUAGGGGGUCAUCCCGACUUACCAAACCGAUGCAAACUCCGAAUACCCAGAA